rnacentral:rRNA from 1 species
GACAGAGGCCUCGAGCGUUAGGCGGAAUCACUGGGCUUAAAGCGUGUGUAGGCGGAUCGUUAAGUACCUUGUGAAAUCCCACGGCUCAACCGUGGAACGGCGUGGGUAUACUGGCGGUCUUGGGCCAUUCAGGGGCGACUGGAACAAGCGGUGGAGCGGUGAAAUGCGUAGAUAUCGCUUGGAACGCCGGAAGGUGAAAACAGGUCGCUGGGGAUGUGCCGACGCUGAGACACGAAAGCCAGGGGAGCAAACGGG